rnacentral:rRNA from 1 species
GACGAACGCUGGCGGUGUGCCUAAUACAUGCAAGUAGAACGCUGAAGGAGGAGCUUGCUUCUCUGGAUGAGUUGCGAACGGGUGAGUAACGCGUAGGUAACCUGCCUGGUAGCGGGGGAUAACUAUUGGAAACGAUAGCUAAUACCGCAUAAGAGUAGAUGUUGCAUGACAUUUGCUUAAAAGGUGCAAUUGCAUCACUACCAGAUGGACCUGCGUUGUAUUAGCUAGUUGGUGAGGUAACGGCUCACCAAGGCAACGAUACAUAGCCGACCUGAGAGGGUGAUCGGCCACACUGGGACUGAGACACGGCCCAGACUCCUACGGGAGGCAGCAGUAGGGAAUCUUCGGCAAUGGACGGAAGUCUGACCGAGCAACGCCGCGUGAGUGAAGAAGGUUUUCGGAUCGUAAAGCUCCGUUGUAAGAGAAGAACGAGUGUGAGAGUGGAAAGUUCACACUGUGACGGUAUCUUACCAGAAAGGGACGGCUAACUACGUG